CCUACGGGUGGCAGCAGUGGGGAAUAUUGGACAAUGGGGGGAACCCUGAUCCAGCGACGCCGCGUGAGUGAAGAAGUAUUUCGGUAUGUAAAGCUCUAUCAGCAGGGAAGAAAGAAAUGACGGUACCUGACUAAGAAGCCCCGGCUAACUACGUGCCAGCAGCCGCGGUAAUACGUAGGGGGCAAGCGUUAUCCGGAUUUACUGGGUGUAAAGGGAGCGUAGACGGCGAUGCAAGUCUGAAGUGAAAGGCGGGGGCCCAACCCCCGGACUGCUUUGGAAACUGUAUGGCUGGAGUGCGGGAGGGGUAAGCGGAAUUCCUAGUGUAGCGGUGAAAUGCGUAGAUAUUAGGAGGAACACCGGUGGCGAAGGCGGCUUACUGGACCGUAACUGACGUUGAGGCUCGAAAGCGUGGGGAGCAAACAGGAUUAGAUACCCGAGUAGUC
rnacentral:rRNA from 1 species